rnacentral:rRNA from 1 species
CCUACGUGAGGCAGCAGUGAGGAAUAUUGGUCAAUGGCCGCAAGCCUGAACCAGCCAAGUCGCGUGAAGGAAGACGGACCUAUGGUUUGUAAACUUCUUUUAUCGGGGAAUAAAGGUAUCCCCGUGUGGAUAUUUGCAUGUACCCUAUGAAUAAGCAUCGGCUAACUCCGUGCCAGCAGCCGCGGUAAUACGGAGGCUGCGAGCGUUAUCCGGAUUUAUUGGGUUUAAAGGGUGCGGAGGUUGUAUUUUAAGUCAGCGGGGAAAUUUUGUGGGUCAACCAUAAAAUUUCCGUGGAAACUGGAAGACGUGAGUGUGUGAGAGGUAGGCGGAAUGAGGGGUGUAGCGGGGAAAUGCAUAGAGAUCACGCAGAACUCCGAUUGCGAAGGCAGCUGACUAAGCCAUAACUGACACGGAAGCACGAAAGUGUGGGGAUCAAACAGGAUUAGAUACCCGAGUAGUC